rnacentral:rRNA from 1 species
CGAAGCUGGAAUCGCUAGUAAUCGUGAAUCAGAAUGUCACGGUGAAUACGUUCCCGGGUCCUUGUACACACCGCCCGUCACACCAUGGGAGUCAGCAACGCCCGAAGUCAGUGACCUAACCGAGAGGGAGGAGCUGCCGAAGGCGGGGCCGGUAACUGGGGUGAAGUCGUAACAAGGUACC